ensembl:lncRNA
UACAUUAGGAGUAGAUUAGGAGUUACUACAUUAGGAGUAGAUUAGGAGUUACUACAUUAGGAGUAGAUUAGGAGUUACUACAUUAGGAGUAGAUUACAUUAGGAGUAGAUUACAUUAGGAGUAGACUACAUUAGGAGUAGAUUACAUUAGGAGUAGACUACAUUAGAAGUAGACUACAUUAGGAGUAGAUUACAUUAGGAGUAGAUUAGGAGUAGACUACAUUAGGAGUAGAUUAGGAGUUACUACAUUAGGAGUAGAUUAGGAGUUACUACAUUAGGAGUAGACUACAUUAGGAGUAGAUUACAUUAGGAGUAGAUUACAUUAGGAGUAGAUUAGGAGUAGACUACAUUAGGAGUAGAUUAGGAGUUACUACAUUAGGAGUAGACUACAUUAGGAGUAGACUACAUUAGGAGUAGACUACAUUAGGAGUAGAUUACAUUAGGAGUAGAUUACAUUAGGAGUAGAUUACAUUAGGAGUAGACUACAUUAGAAGUAGAUUAGGAGUUACUACAUUAGGAGUAGAUUAGGAGUUACUACAUUAGGAGUAGACUACAUUAGGAGUAGACUACAUUAGGAGUAGAUUACAUUAGGAGUAGAUUACAUUAGGAGUAGAUUAGGAGUAGACUACAUUAGGAGUAGAUUAGGAGUUACUACAUUAGGAGUAGACUACAUUAGGAGUAGAUUACAUUAGGAGUAGAUUACAUUAGGAGUAGAUUGUAAACCACCUAUGCCUGUUUGUUUUUUUAAAAUUAAGAAUUGAUUAAUUUACCUAAUAAUUCACUGUUGGAUAAUAUUCCUAAUUCAUUAUUUAACGGUAGCUAGUAGUAAUUGAUUAUUUAACGGUAGCUAGUAGUAACUGAUUAUUUAACGGUAGCUAGUAGUAACUGAUUAUUUAACGGUAGCUAGUAGUAACUGAUUAUUUAACGGUAGCUAGUAGUAACUGAUUAUUUAAGGCUGCCAGGGUCUCUCUGACCCACACAGACACGGGUGAUCAACUCAUAACGCUGCCCGGGGUCACUCUGACCCACACAGACACGGGGAUCAACUCGUAACCCUGCCCGGGUCACUCUGACCCGCCGAGACAACGGGAGGGUUAACGGUAGCUAGCAGUAACUGAUUAUUUAACGGUAGCUAGCAGUAACUGAUUAUUUAACGGUAGCUAGCAGUAAAUGUUUAUUUAACGGUAGCUAGCAGUAACUGAUUAUUUAACGGUAGCUAGUAGUAACUGAUUAUUUAACGGUAGCUAGUAGUAACUGAUUAUUUAACGGUAGCUAGUAGUAACUGAUUAUUUAAAGGUAGCUAGUAGUAACUUAUUAUUUAACGGUAGCUAGUAGUAACUGAUUAUUUAACGGUAGCUAGUAGAAAUGAGAUGCUAUGAGCUUGUGGCCUUGUUGAACUUUAAACUCCUCCUUACUCCUGUUUAGGGUUUGUGCUUCUGGCCAGAUGAACUUCCUUCCCAAGCUAGACUACUUACAGCCUGGUUUGAUCUGUUUUGUGCAGUCUUGCCAAAUGUAUAUAUAUAUAUAUAUAUAUAUAUAUAUAUAUAUAUAUAUAU